AAUGUCGUCUGCUCACACGCUAUUGACCUGUUUACAUUUUAGUACGAGUGGAUUAUGAAAGUGACUUUGGAACACCACACGAAAACGUUCUCUAAACAAGAUGUGGCCUCGUUGGGGAUGACACGACAAGGUUUGGGAAAACACAGCUGUUGGAAAAAACAACAUAAUGAGAAUUUCAUUUCUUGUUUUAUCGUCAUGAUGGAUCUGGAAAAAACACAGUUGAUAAGUGAUAGCUAUCAGCUUACGAUUCGGAUGUACAACGAAGAGUUUUGGCGGUAACUCUUUUGUAUAUAGAGGUUUUCAUGAUGGCAGAUGUUCUUCAACGUAUAAACCUCUGCUGUGCUCUGUGCACAAAGGUGUUCACAGAUCCUGUCACACUUCAGUGUAAUCACACAUUCUGCAAGCUCUGUCUGCUGUUAUACACCAAGGGAGAGUCUGAUGCCGUGGAAGCCAAAUACUUCCCAUGUGCUAUCUGUGGAC